rnacentral:rRNA from 1 species
UACGAAGGGUGCAAGCGUUACUCGGAAUUACUGGGCGUAAAGCGUGCGUAGGUGGUUUGUUAAGUCUGAUGUGAAAGCCCUGGGCUCAACCUGGGAAUUGCAUUGGAUACUGGCAGGCUAGAGUGCGGUAGAGGAUGGCGGAAUUCCCGGUGUAGCAGUGAAAUGCGUAGAGAUCGGGAGGAACACCAGUGGCGAAGGCGGCGAUCUGGGAAGAUACUGACGCUGAGGUGCGAAAGCGUGGGGAGCAAACAGG